rnacentral:misc_RNA from 1 species
UUGAGUUGAGUUGAGUUGAGUACUUUUGCGCCUCACUCGCUCAGGCGCGUGCUUGUGCCUAUGCUCCAGGACCCUUUGGCGCUUUAAUGUGCCUUGAUUGUUUAAUAACUAUGAUUCAGGUAAAGGAGUUUGAAAAUUGGUUGCCCAUGGUAUUUGCUAGCAUGGAUAACAAAAAACAAAGUUGUGGCACUGACGUGGGCUAUAGAUUGGGGAAGUUGGUUAGACUACCGUAGAAGUUAGAAAAUAACUUAUUCUUCCAAAUUAGAAUAUAUAUAUUAUAAAAUAAUAAGCAAAAUUUAUUACUUUCAUAUAUUAAAGUCUCGUUUGUCAUUGAGGUUGGGAGACUAAAAAAAAUCACUUCUUGAAAAAGGAUAUUUUAAAUACUGUUGAAAUUUUUUUUGAAAAAAGUAGUUUAAUUAUUUUAGAGUUCGAUUUAAAAAAAAUUGUAAAAAAUUUUUUUAAAGAAAAGCCAAAAAUGGAAAAGAAAAACCAAGAUUUAAGUUUUUACAACUCAAAGAUACCAGGUUCUCUCUAACAAGACCGAAUUUAUUUCGCCGUAGGUCAAAAAAGGAGGAAAGCUCUCAAUCAUUCAUUCGAUCCACAAGUUCAUAUGCCCAUAACUCGAUCUCAGACUCAGGACCAUGAUAGGCACAUGCAUAAUUUUAUCUUAGUAUCUGAAAUCCUUCUAAGUUGACAUGUGAAUUCCAGGUGGAAUUCUGAGAAAUCAGACCACUUUUGGUUUUUCUUUAAUUGAAUGGGGUUGCAUUAAUUGAUAUUGACGGUGAAAUAAUUAUCUAAGUUGAUACUAUCAUACAGACAACCCUCCCCCCCUCCUCUUUCUUUUCCACAAGGUCCUCAUUGUCUCUUAUUGCUCAAUGGUGAGUCACUUGAUAUAGUCUGAAUAUUCUUACAGAGCAGAGUUGGACCUGUGGAAUGGUUAAAGCCUUAUACUGAUGAGACAAUCAUGGAACUUGGAAGAAAAGGGGUGAAGAAUAUUCUUGCUGUCCCAAUUAGGUAUUUAAUUUUGUCAGUGAUCAUGUUGAUGUUAUGAUUUGUUGGAUUUUACUUGAAGUAGCUGCAUAUCUGAUGCAAGUUGGUUCUUGUUAACUCAUGGUUUUAUUUUUGGUAGAUUAAACUCAAGUUGCUUCCAAAAUUUUGAUUUCUGAUUCA